AAUUCCUCACGAGCCCCUCCUUGGGGUCAGCUCCUCCUAGACCAGGCCCAGCAGGCAGGGCUGCAGGAGGGGCUCACACUCCCAAGAGGCUCCGGGUCGUGUAGGGACAUCUUCCAACACAUAACCCAAACGCCGACGCCGACACCGAGGGCAGUUUCAGGGAGCAGAGGCGCUCACCACAGGACAACAGUCAAGAGGCAAGAGGCGGCAGCAAGGGGUACAGCCGGGGACCUGGGUGGCCGUUUGAAGGGGUCUUCCCCCUCCUCAGACCCACUGCCCGCUCCCGGCCCUCCUUUCCCGCGCAUACAUCUCCCAAACAUGGGCCCCUCCAGCCCCGACUUCUGGGUGAACCCCAGAUUCGGAGAGCACUAGGGCAGGUGUACCAUGGGGGGCUUUUUGGGAACCGGUUUUCCCCGGCUCCCGGCUCCCGUUGGAACUUCCAGAGCGCCGCGCCCCGGGACCCUGGAAGCCCGCCCGUCCCCGCCCCCCGCGGCCGCGACCUCAGCGCUCCCGGUGCGGUUCCCGGAAACUCCUCGAUUUCCCUGUGGCCUCCGCUUUUGCAAGAAACCGAAACCCAAGCCCCGCCCCUCCGGCGCGGCCUCGCGGGACCCGGCUGCUCUCAGCAGGGGCGAGCCUCGUGCACCCCAACUCUCCCAAGUCUGAUUUCUGAGAGCAUUUCCUGUUCCGCACACACGUCAGUCAGCAGAUGAUCUGCCUGGAGGUUACCAAGAAACACCUCUAUCAGAGAGAAUGAAUACGCCGAGAAAGGAUGGUGCAACGCAUCCACGGAAAAGGGAUUUCCUGAGCGGGGACGCAGGGACCGGCGCAGCGCUCAGCGAGCUGUGCGCGGGGUGGGG
rnacentral:lncRNA from 1 species